GAUGAACGCUGGCGGCGUGCCUAAUACAUGCAAGUCGAGCGGUAAGGCCACUUCGGUGGUACACGAGCGGCGGACGGCUGAGUAACACGUAGGAACGUACCCCAAACUGAGGGAUAAGCACCGGAAACGGUGUCUAAUACCGCAUGUGCUCUUCGGAGCAAAGCUACGGCGGUUUGGGAACGGCCUGCGCAUGAUUAGCUUGUUGGUGAGGUAAUGGCUCACCAAGGCGACGAUCAUUAGCUGGUCUGAGAGGAUGAUCAGCCAGACUGGGACUGAGAACGGCCCAGACUCCUACGGGAGGCAGCAGUAGGGAAUUUUCCACAAUGGGGGCAACCCUGAUGGAGCAACGCCGCGUGCAGGAUGAAUGCCUUCGGGUUGUAAACUGCUUUUAUAUGUGACGAUUAUGACGGUAGCAUAUGAAUAAGGAUCGGCUAACUCCGUGCCAGCCGCCGCGGUAA
rnacentral:rRNA from 1 species